UACGGGGGGGGCAAGCGUUGUUCGGAAUUACUGGGCGUAAAGGGCUCGUAGGCGGCCAACUAAGUCAGACGUGAAAUCCCUCGGCUUAACCGGGGAACUGCAUCUGAUACUGGAUGGCUUGAGUUUGGGAGAGGGAUGCGGAAUUCCAGGUGCAGCGGUGAAAUGCGUAGAUAUCUGGAGGAACACCGGUGGCGAAGGCGGCAUCCUGGACCAAUUCUGACGCUGAGGAGCGAAAGCCAGGGGAGCAAACGGG
rnacentral:rRNA from 1 species